UAUUCCAAGAGAUGUUAAAAUUAAAGCUCUGUACACCUUCAAAGUACUUUAUCUGGAAUGGGAUUAGUAUUGAGAAGACAACUGUAAUAAAGAAGAGUCACAAGUUCUAUUUAGUGAAGCCUUUCAUAGCGAGAGAUACGGAACCUUUCUUGAAUUUCCAUGGCUCAGCACUGGUAGUCUUUGGUACAAUUCCAGACAGGCAUCCUUCAUCCCAAGAAGCAAAGAUGGAUCUUUCAAAAAGCAGCAUACUUUAACCAUUGCUGCAGGGACGCAGGGUUCUACAGAGCUGCUUCUACGUUUCUGGGAAGCCAUACUUCACCUGCACAUAUGCUUCUUCCUUAAGACUCUUCUCCAACCAGAAUGAAAAUGGUAGCUGGGCAUUUCCGUGAGGGAUGGAGUAACUCGCUGCCAUGGCACAGAGAUGGGAGCAGUGAGGAAAACUUGACACAGUCAAUCUACCUGGCUCACUAAAUGAGGACCUGUAAAGGGCUAUUUAUUUUCUGAAGGGUUUCUCUUGACUGCCCCCAGAUCUAACUCUUGUCAAAUGUUUAUUAAUACUCCUUAAUUUAUCAGAGCAGUGGAGAAUAUAAGGUGCAUUGGAGUGUGGGAUUUAAAGAAUCUGUGUGACCCAACCAAUGGAAAAGUAGGUCAGUGCAAGCCUUAUGCAUAUUUUCAAAAAACUCCAGAAAAAAGCAUUAGAAUGUUUCAUGUGGCUUAACCUCUCCUGUGACAUCCAUUUCAGUGUUAUCAAUAAAUUGUGCUCAGGACCUGGACGGAACAAUACGUGAGCAGGCUGAUAAGAGUAGGUAUUUCAAGUGCUUUUGAAAAAUCCUACGAUGUCUUAUCAAGAGUCCCAGGCUGUGCUGGCUGUGCAGAAUGUUCUCGGCUUCGAACUCCACUGCAGGACAGGGUAGGAGAGAAGCAUGCCAGGGCUUAGACUUCCAUGGGACAGACGUCAUUCCCUCCAAAGAUGUUCUGAUCUGAUAACUCCUGAUACUAACUCUAGUGAGAUGUAGCUAAAUUUAGCAAUAGGUUUAAUCCUCAAAGAGGCCCUGGUUGCCUGACGGAAAAAGCAAAGUGUUUCAGUUGCUGCUCUCAGCAUUUCUUGUUGAUUGACAGGUUUCCCUUUUCUAUUACACAGAGCGAGCCAAACCCAGUGUCUACAACUUUUUCAUCAUUGCAGAUCAGCUUCACAGAUAUGGAAAGCUCUACAGCCCUUACUGUGUUUGUAGAAAAAACCCAAACCCACAGGAUAAUUUUACAGAAAACAUUAAUAAUUCUUCACAGUAAAUGAACUGAAGUAAAAAAAAAAAUGGGAGGCCAAAGGAAAGCAUUUCUAUGCUGAAGAGCUUAUGUGAGAAAGGGCAAAGCCAAUACAAUAGAGCGCCAAGCUAGAACAACCAGUGUUCUUGUUUUCCCCUUUUCCUUUUAUUAUUAAUGACAGUAUGUACAUUCUUCCACAUUUUGUGCAAAGAGUAACCAAAUUACAUAAUCCGGCUAAGCAGAAAGACCCAGGAGAUAAAGAUGGAUGUUACCUUGGCCAUGUCCUGAGCAACAGAGAAGUUGUUCCUUUUAACACUUGUCAGGUGAUUAGCUGCCAAAUGACUGCUUCUUCCUGCACCCUAUUUCACUGCUGUAUGGUGCUUUAAAGGUGUAAAGUGCUAGAUCAGUGCUGAGAGUGUCAGUCCAAAUAGCACACAGGACACACAGAAGCAUUAAAAAUUACAGCAUUAUGCGUUUCACAGUAGCACAUCUUUAUUUGGGCCCUUAGCUAUAAUUGUCUACUUUACGGUUCUUGUGCUAUUCUUUAAAGGACCUAACUGGCUAGUGUAAGACACAAGACAGAGGAUUAUAUGGAAGGUAAGGCUGGUAUAGCAUGGCAUUUCCUAUGACCUUGAAUACCCAGCUUUUUACUGCAAGAAAGAUUUUUCUCUCAAGGACAUGGAGAGAGCAUCAUUUCUUAUGGGAAAAGCUAUACUGAAUAAAUACAGAAACACAUACUGAAACAAACUGAAAUAGCAACAUGCUGUGAAUAUUGGAAAACACACCAGCAUGGAAGAAAGACAUUGAAAAGCAUGCUCUGUGAACAUGAGAUGGAGACACCUAUUCUCUUAGGGUUUCUGUUGAGAUGUGUGCACCAGUUAUCUUUUCUCCCUCUGCAUUCCAAGGGCGUUUGGGCAAAGAUGUUAUUUUUCUACUUGUUCUCCAUUGACAGCUGCAGUUUCCUGCCUUUGAGCUCAACAGUUGACACUAAGGGUGAGCACUGCAGCAGUACGCACUGAUCCCCUCGGGGUGGGAUUAGCAGGUGGGUGUUGGAUGUUGUCCUGCACUAUAUAACACAAAACUAGGAGCAACAGCCAAACAGCUUCUGUCGCUGGAGUUCUACUGUUAUCUGUAGAGCAAGCCAGCUUUCUGGAGAGAGGCACCACAGCGUGGUGUUCGCUGCCAUUAGUCAUCUCCCCUAUAACGAGCAGUGUCUGCUGAGGAGAGCUCAGGGAGUUGAGAUAGCGGCAUGAGCU